rnacentral:rRNA from 1 species
AUUGAACGCUGGCGGCAUGCUUUACACAUGCAAGUCGAGCGGCAGCGCGGGGGGCAACCCUGGCGGCGAGCGGCGAACGGGUGAGUAAUGCAUCGGAACGUACCCUGGAGUGGGGGAUAACGCCGCGAAAGCGGCGCUAAUACCGCAUAUGCUCUGAGGAGGAAAGUGGGGGACCGCAAGGCCUCACGCUCUGGGAGCGGCCGAUGUCCGAUUAGCUAGUUGGUGGGGUAAAGGCUUACCAAGGCGACGAUCGGUAGCUGGUCUGAGAGGAUGAUCAGCCACACUGGGACUGAGACACGGCCCAGACUCCUACGGGAGGCAGCAGUGGGGAAUUUUGGACAAUGGGGGCAACCCUGAUCCAGCCAUGCCGCGUGAGUGAAGAAGGCCUUUGGGUUGUAAAGCUCUUUUGGUCGGGAAGAAAGCGCCUUGCCUAAUACGCGAGGUGGUUGACGGUACCGGCAGAAUAAGCACCGGCUAACUACGUGCCAGCAGCCGCGGUAAU